rnacentral:rRNA from 1 species
UACGUAGGGUGCGAGCGUUGUCCGGAAUUAUUGGGCGUAAAGGGCUCGUAGGCGGUUUGUCACGUCGGGAGUGAAAACUCAGGGCUUAACCCUGAGCCUGCUUCCGAUACGGGCAGACUAGAGGUAUGCAGGGGAGAAUGGAAUUCCUGGUGUAGCGGUGAAAUGCGCAGAUAUCAGGAGGAACACCGGUGGCGAAGGCGGUUCUCUGGGCAUUACCUGACGCUGAGGGGCGAAAGCGUGGGGAGCGAACGGG